AAGAAGGCUAUCGCCAAGAAGCCGGUGGACAAGGUGGACGACAAGGCCAUGAAGGGAAAGAAAGGAGGAGCUAAAUUGAAGAGGGAAGAUGGCCCCUCCCAUAACCGACAGACUCUUACAGAGAUCUGUGUGUCUCGCUCCAGUGUCAGUGUGACCUACUACAGAAGUCUUGCUCCCUACUCCAUGUCUGUCAGAGGACCGAGUGAGACAGUCCGAGUCAACGGAGACUGAGGCUGUGGGGGCGGGGUCUGACGAGGAGAAGGAAUGAGGAAAUUGGGGGUGUGUCUUUCUCUGACUUCUCCCAAACCGGUACCAUGGAAACAAAGAAAGGAUCUUUUUUUACGAGGAUUUUGUAAAAUGCUGAAUUUUUUGGGUCCUGUGAUAUUAGCGAAGAUAAACCAACACCCCAUGUCCACACUCCUCCUUGCAGUUCUAUCACUCGCUCUAUUUUCCAAUCCUUUCCUCUCUCUUCCAUUUUGUUGUUUUACUCCUCACCCUCUUUCUCCUCUUCCUUUUCUUGAAAGACAGAAUGAAGUGACAUGUUUUUAAAAAAUGGCUGCAACUAUUCUUCCUCUGGCAGUGGGAGGAGCCUCACAGGGUCACCAUUAUAAUGUAUCUCACGUCCUUUCUAAAUAAUGACGUCAUAU